rnacentral:rRNA from 1 species
CCUACGGGUGGCAGCAGUGAGGAAUAUUGGUCAAUGGGCGCAAGCCUGAACCAGCCAAGUAGCGUGCAGGAUGACGGCCCUACGGGUUGUAAACUGCUUUUAUAGGGGAAUAAAGCGCCUCACGUGUACGGUUUUGCAUGUACUGUAUGAAUAAGGACCGGCUAACUCCGUGCCAGCAGCCGCGGUAAUACGGAGGGUCCGUGCGUUAUCCGGAUUUAUUGGGUUUAAAGGGAGCGUAGGUGGGAUGUUAAGGGUGAUGUGAAAUGUCCGGGCUCAACCCGGGCCUUGCAGCGGAUACUGGCGUGCUUGAGUGCGGGGGAGGCAGGCGGAAUUCGUGGUGUAGCGGUGAAAUGCUUAGAUAUAACGAAGAACCCCGAUUGCGAAGGCAGCUUGCUGCAGCGUAACUGACGCUGAUGCUCGAAAGCGCGGGUAUCAAACAGGAUUAGAUACCCGAGUAGUC